rnacentral:tRNA from 1 species
GCAUUGGUGGUUCAGUGGUAGAAUUCUUGCCUGCCACGCGGGAGACCUGGGUCCGAUUCCCGGCCAAUGCA